rnacentral:rRNA from 1 species
AUUGAACGCUAGCGGGAUGCUUUACACAUGCAAGUCGAACGGAGUGGCGGACGUGUGUGUAAUAUAUCGGAACGUUCCCAGUAGCUGGCGAUAACUACUCGAAAGUGUUGCUACUACCGCACACUUUUGGAUCGGCCGCUAUUGGAUUAGCCAGUUGGUGGGGUAAAGGCUCACAAAGGCCACGAUCCGUAUUUGGUUUGAGAGGACGACCAGCCACACUGGGACGGAGACACGGCCCAGACUCCUACGGGAGGCAGCAGUGGGGAAUUUUGGACAAUGGGGGAAACCCUGAUGCAGCAAUCCCGCGUGUAUGAUGAAGGCCUUCGGGUUGUAAAGUACUGUUGGCAGAGAAGCGGGAUCUGCAGAAUAAGCACCGGCUAACUACGUGCCAGCAGCCGCGGUAAUAC